rnacentral:rRNA from 1 species
GCCAGCAGCCAUAUCACUCUGCAACUCACAACAGACAAACCACUGAACCUAAGCAGGUGUGAGCCUGGUAAGUAUCUGGAUGGGAGACGUCCUGGGAAAAACUACUGUAAGGUUGCUGCUGGAA